CCUACGGGAGUCAUCCUUUCUUCCUCUUUUUCCCUUUCCUCCCGUCUGCCCCCGCCAUGCCGCGUGCAGGAAGACGGCUCUAUGAGUUGUAAACUUCUUUUGUACGAGGGUAAACGCAGAUACGCGUAUCUGUCUGAAAGUAUCUUACGAAUAAGGAUCGGCUAACUCCGUGCCAGCAGCCUCGGUAAUACGGAGGAUUCAAGCGUUAUCCGGAUUUAUUGGGUUUAAAGGGUGCGUAGGCGGUCGGAUAAGUUAGAGGUGAAAUCCCGAGGCUGAACUUCGGAAUUGCCUCUGAUACUGUUCGGCUAGAGAGUAGUUGUGGUAGGCGGAAUGUAUGGUGUAGCGGUGAAAUGCUUAGAGAUCAUACAGAACACCGAUUGCGAAGGCAGCUUACCAAGCUAACUCUGACGUUGAGGCACGAAAGCGUGGGGAGCAAACAGGAUUAGAUACCCUGGUAGUC
rnacentral:rRNA from 1 species